GNGGNGACGGGUGCUACCAUGCAGUCGACGAUGAAGCCCAGCUUGCUGGGUGGAUUAGUGGCGAACGGGUGAGUAACACGUGAGCAACCUGCCCCUGACUCUGGGAUAAGCGCUGGAAACGGCGUCUAAUACUGGAUAUGUCCCGUCACCGCAUGGUGUGCGGGUGGAAAGAUUUUUCGGUUGGGGAUGGGCUCGCGGCCUAUCAGCUUGUUGGUGAGGUAAUGGCUCACCAAGGCGUCGACGGGUAGCCGGCCUGAGAGGGUGACCGGCCACACUGGGACUGAGACACGGCCCAGACUCCUACGGGAGGCAGCAGUGGGGAAUAUUGCACAAUGGGCGAAAGCCUGAUGCAGCAACGCCGCGUGAGGGAUGACGGCCUUCGGGUUGUAAACCUCUUUUAGCAGGGAAGAAGCGAAAGUGACGGUACCUGCAGAAAAAGCACCGGCUAACUACGUGCCAGCAGCCGCGGUAAUACGUAGGGUGCAAGCGUUAUCCGGAAUUAUUGGGCGUAAAGAGCUCGUAGGCGGUCUGUCGCGUCUGCUGUGAAAUCCCGAGGCUCAACCUCGGGCUUGCAGUGGGUACGGGCAGACUAGAGUGCGGUAGGGGAGAUUGGAAUUCCUGGUGUAGCGGUGGAAUGCGCAGAUAUCAGGAGGAACACCGAUGGCGAAGGCAGAUCUCUGGGCCGUAACUGACGCUGAGGAGCGAAAGGGUGGGGAGCAAACAGGCUUAGAUACCCUGGUAGUCCACCCCGUAAACGUUGGGAACUAGUUGUGGGGUCCUUUCCACGGAUUCCGUGACGCAGCUAACGCAUUAAGUUCCCCGCCUGGGGGAGUACGGCCGCAAGGCUAAAACUCAAAGGAAUUGACGGGGACCCGCACAAGCGGCGGAGCAUGCGGAUUAAUUCGAUGCAACGCGAAGAACCUUACCAAGGCUUGACAUACACGAGAACGGGCCAGAAAUGGUCAACUCUUUGGACACUCGUGAACAGGUGGUGCAUGGUUGUCGUCAGCUCGUGUCGUGAGAUGUUGGUUAAGUCCCGCAACGAGCGCAAUCCUCGUUCUAUGUUGCCAGCACGUAAUGUGGGAACUCAUGGGAUACUGCCGGGGUCAACUCGGAGGAAGGUGGGGAUGACGUCAAAUCAUCAUGCCCCUUAAUGUCUUGGGGCUUUCAGC
rnacentral:rRNA from 1 species